UUUGAUCCUGGCUCAGGAUGAGCGCUGGCGGUAUGCUUAACACAUGCAAGUCGAACGGGGCUCUUCGGAGUAAUCUGGCUUCAGGUUCGGGACAACAGUGGGAAACGGCUGCUAAUACCGAAUGUGCAGAAAUGUGAAAGAUUAAUUGCCUGAAGAUGAGCUCGCGUCUGAUUAGCUAGUUGGUGGGGUAAGAGCCUACCAAGGCGACGAUCAGUAACUGGUCUGAGAGGAUGACCAGUCACACUGGGACUGAGACACGGCCCAGACUCCUACGGGAGGCAGCAGUGGGGAAUUUUCCGCAAUGGGCGAAAGCCUGACGGAGCAAUACCGCGUGAGGGAGGAAGGCUCUAGGGUUGUAAACCUCUUUUCUCAGGGAAGAACAAAAUGACGGUACCUGAGGAAUCAGCAUCGGCUAACUCCGUGCCAGCAGCCGCGGUAAUACGGAGGAUGCAAGCGUUAUCCGGAAUUAUUGGGCGUAAAGCGUCCGCAGGUGGCAGUUCAAGUCUGCUGUUAAAGGUCGAGGCUCAACCCCGAACAGGCAGUGGAAACUGAACAGCUAGAGUGCGGUAGGGGUAGCGGGAAUUCCCAGUGUAGCGGUGAAAUGCGUAGAUAUUGGGAAGAACACCAGCGGCGAAAGCGCGCUACUGGGCCAUUACUGACACUCAUGGACGAAAGCUAGGGGAGCGAAAGGGGUUAGAUACCCCUGUAGUCCUAGCUGUAAACGAUGGAUACUAG
rnacentral:rRNA from 1 species